rnacentral:snRNA from 1 species
AAAUUAGCAGGGGAGAUACCAUGAUCACGAAGGUGGUUUUCCCAGGGCGAGGCUUAUCCAUUGCACUCCGGAUGUGCUGACCCCUGCGAUUUCCCCAAAUGUGGGAAACUCGACUGCAUAAUUUGUGGUAGUGGGGGACUGCGUUCGCGCUCUCCCCUG